UUUUCAGGUUCCUUCGUGCUGCAUUUGUUGGAGAAGGUGGACGAUGUGCAUAUUUGCACUCUUCAGAAGGCGCUAAACGAUAUAGCCAAUUUGAUCAUAACGACUGCUUCGAAGUCCGUUGUUACCGGUCAGAUAAGUAGCGGCUGCUACCACCAUGUCGUCUGUUGGUCAACCAGCGGAAUAUAUUUUGCAGCCUGAUUAACUGGAGUCGCCAUGUUGACCAGCGCUGAUCUAGGUACCACAAAUUCGAGUCCAAAGUUCGCAGGAGCAGCCGUCGCCAGAUUGAUCGCCACUGUGCUGGAUAUUGGAGUCUGAAUUGCUGCAAACGUGCUAGCCGCUGUCGUCUGGUAUUGCCGUUCGAUCAGACGCCAUUGACGUGGAAGCUGCUCUGGUCGAGUUGUCUGAUUUGAGCGCUGAAUGCACCUAAACGUAACCAUGAUAACGAGAUCAGUAAAUCCUUCGCCAUUUUGCA